GCGUCGAGCGGCGGACGGGUGAGUAAUGCCUAGGAAAUUGCCCUGAUGUGGGGGAUAACCAUUGGAAACGAUGGCUAAUACCGCAUAAUGCCUACGGGCCAAAGAGGGGGACCUUCGGGCCUCUCGCGUCAGGAUAUGCCUAGGUGGGAUUAGCUAGUUGGUGAGGUAAUGGCUCACCAAGGCGACGAUCCCUAGCUGGUCUGAGAGGAUGAUCAGCCACACUGGAACUGAGACACGGUCCAGACUCCUACGGGAGGCAGCAGUGGGGAAUAUUGCACAAUGGGCGCAAGCCUGAUGCAGCCAUGCCGCGUGUGUGAAGAAGGCCUUCGGGUUGUAAAGCACUUUCAGUCGUGAGGAAGGUGGUAGUGUUAAUAGCACUAUCAUUUGACGUUAGCGACAGAAGAAGCACC
rnacentral:rRNA from 1 species